AACGAACGCUGGCGGCAUGCCUAACACAUGCAAGUCGAACGAGACCUUCGGGUCUAGUGGCGCACGGGUGCGUAACGCGUGGGAACCUGCCCUUAGGUUCGGAAUAACUCCCCGAAAGGGGUGCUAAUACCGGAUAAUGUCUUCGGACCAAAGAUUUAUCGCCUUUGGAUGGGCCCGCGUUGGAUUAGCUAGUUGGUAGGGUAAAAGCCUACCAAGGCGACGAUCCAUAGCUGGUCUGAGAGGAUGAUCAGCCACACUGGGACUGAGACACGGCCCAGACUCCUACGGGAGGCAGCAGUGGGGAAUAUUGGACAAUGGGCGAAGGCAUGAUCCAGCAAUGCCGCGUGAGUGAUGAAGGCCUUAGGGUUGUAAAGCUCUUUUACCCGGGAUGAUAAUGACAGUACCGGGAGAAUAAGCUCCGGCUAACUCCGUG
rnacentral:rRNA from 1 species